AUUGAACGCUGGCGGCAGGCCUAACACAUGCAAGUCGAACGAGUGGCGGACGGGUGAGUAAUGUCUGGGAAACUGCCUGAUGGAGGGGGAUAACUACUGGAAACGGUAGCUAAUACCGCAUACCAUCGGAGGGGCCCAGCUGGGAUUAGCUAGUAGGUGGGGUAACGGCUCACCUAGGCGACGAUCCCUAGCUGGUCUGAGAGGAUGACCAGCCACACGGGAACUGAGACACGGACCAGACUACUACGGGAGGCAGCAGUGGGGAAGAGUGCACAAUGGGAGCAAGCCGGAUGCAGCCAUGCCGAGUGUAUGAAGAAGGCCUUCGGGUUGUAAAGUACUUUCAGCGGGGAGGCGUUACCCGCAGAAGAAGCACCGGCUAACUCCGUGCCAGCAGCCGCGGUAAUUC
rnacentral:rRNA from 1 species